AAGCCUUCGGGUUUAGUGGCGCACGGGUGCGUAACGCGUGGGAAUCUGCCUCUUGGUUCGGAAUAACAGUUGGAAACGACUGCUAAUACCGGAUGAUGACGUAAGUCCAAAGAUUUAUCGCCGAGGGAUGAGCCCGCGUAGGAUUAGGUAGUUGGUGUGGUAAAGGCGCACCAAGCCGACGAUCCUUAGCUGGUCUGAGAGGAUGAUCAGCCACACUGGGACUGAGACACGGCCCAGACUCCUACGGGAGGCAGCAGUGGGGAAUAUUGGACAAUGGGCGAAAGCCUGAUCCAGCAAUGCCGCGUGAGUGAUGAAGGCCUUAGGGUCGUAAAGCUCUUUUACCCGGGAUGAUAAUGACAGUACCGGGAGAAUAAGCUCCGGCUAACUCCGUGCCAGCAGCCGCGGUAAUACGGAGGGAGCUAGCGUUAUUCGGAAUUACUGGGCGUAAAGCGCACGUAGGCGGCUUUGUAAGUAAGAGGUGAAAGCCCAGAGCUCAACUCUGGAAUUGCCUUUUAGACUGCAUCGCUUGAAUCAUGGAGAGGUCAGUGGAAUUCCGAGUGUAGAGGUGAAAUUCGUAGAUAUUCGGAAGAACACCAGUGGCGAAGGCGGCUGACUGGACAUGUAUUGACGCUGAGGUGC
rnacentral:rRNA from 1 species